GAAGGUGGCCUGUGAGGGUUGCUGGAGGUAUCAGAAGUGCGAAUGCUGACAUAAGUAACGAUAAAGCGGGUGAAAAGCCCGCUCGCCGGAAGACCAAGGGUUCCUGUCCAACGUUAAUCGGGGCAGGGUGAGUCGACCCCUAAGGCGAGGCCGAAAGGCGUAGUCGAUGGGAAACGGGUUAAUAUUCCCGUACUUGGUGUUACUGCGAAGGGGGGACGGAGAAGGCUAUGUUGGCCGGGCGACGGUUGUCCCGGUUUAAGCGUGUAGGUGUGUGUUCCAGGUAAAUCCGGUUCACUUUAACACUGAGGCGUGAUGACGAGGCACUACGGUGCUGAAGCAACAAAUGCCCUGCUUCCAGGAAAAGCCUCUAAGCAUCAGGUAACAUCAAAUCGUACCCCAAACCGACACAGGUGGUCAGGUAGAGAAUACCAAGGCGCUUGAGAGAACUCGGGUGAAGGAACUAGGCAAAAUGGUGCCGUAACUUCGGGAGAAGGCACGCUGACACGUAGGUGAAGUGAUUUACUCACGGAGCUGAAGUCAGUCGAAGAUACCAGCUGGCUGCAACUGUUUAUUAAAAACACAGCACUGUGCAAACACGAAAGUGGACGUAUACGGUGUGACGCCUGCCCGGUGCCGGAAGGUUAAUUGAUGGGGUCAGCGCAAGCGAAGCUCCUGAUCGAAGCCCCGGUAAACGGCGGCCGUAACUAUAACGGUCCUAAGGUAGCGAAAUUCCUUGUCGGGUAAGUUCCGACCUGCACGAAUGGCGUAAUGAUGGCCAGGCUGUCUCCACCCGAGACUCAGUGAAAUUGAACUCGCUGUGAAGAUGCAGUGUACCCGCGGCAAGACGGAAAGACCCCGUGAACCUUUACUAUAGCUUGACACUGAACAUUGAGCCUUGAUGUGUAGGAUAGGUGGGAGGCUUUGAAGUGUGGACGCCAGUCUGCAUGGAGCCGACCUUGAAAUACCACCCUUUAAUGUUUGAUGUUCUAACGUGGACCCGUAAUCCGGGUUGCGGACAGUGUCUGGUGGGUAGUUUGACUGGGGCGGUCUCCUCCUAAAGAGUAACGGAGGAGCACGAAGGUUGGCUAAUCCUGGUCGGACAUCAGGAGGUUAGUGCAAUGGCAUAAGCCAGCUUGACUGCGAGCGUGACGGCGCGAGCAGGUGCGAAAGCAGGUCAUAGUGAUCCGGUGGUUCUGAAUGGAAGGGCCAUCGCUCAACGGAUAAAAGGUACUCCGGGGAUAACAGGCUGAUACCGCCCAAGAGUUCAUAUCGACGGCGGUGUUUGGCACCUCGAUGUCGGCUCAUCACAUCCUGGGGCUGAAGUAGGUCCCAAGGGUAUGGCUGUUCGCCAUUUAAAGUGGUACGCGAGCUGGGUUUAGAACGUCGUGAGACAGUUCGGUCCCUAUCUGCCGUGGGCGCUGGAGAACUGAGGGGGGCUGCUCCUAGUACGAGAGGACCGGAGUGGACGCAUCACUGGUGUUCGGGUUGUCAUGCCAAUGGCACUGCCCGGUAGCUAAAUGCGGAAGAGAUAAGUGCUGAAAGCAUCUAAGCACGAAACUUGCCCCGAGAUGAGUUCUCCCUGAGACUU
rnacentral:rRNA from 3 species